UCCUACGGAGGCAGCAGUGGGGAAUAUUGGACAAUGGGGGAAACCCUGAUCCAGCAAUGCCGCGUGAGUGAUGAAGGCCUUAGGGUCGUAAAGCUCUUUUACCCGGGAUGAUAAUGACAGUACCGGGAGAAUAAGCCCCGGCUAACUCCGUGCCAGCAGCCGCGGUAAUACGGAGGGGGCUAGCGUUGUUCGGAAUUACUGGGCGUAAAGCGCACGUAGGCGGUUACUCAAGUCAGAGGUGAAAGCCCGGGGCUCAACCCCGGAACUGCCUUUGAAACUAGGUGACUAGAAUCUUGGAGAGGCGAGUGGAAUUCCGAGUGUAGAGGUGAAAUUCGUAGAUAUUCGGAAGAACACCAGUGGCGAAGGCGACUCGCUGGACAAGUAUUGA
rnacentral:rRNA from 1 species